UAAACCCAGCUAUUUACUCUAGAUUGCUUCAAUAAGCAGAAAGAUAAGAAAAUCUAGAACCUGCAAAAUUAAUACUAGUACUGCGGGCGAAAACCCUUCGGUUUCUCUGAAAACACCUAGCAGACGAACCACCCUUAUGCUUCCCCUUCUCUCGGCAUCAGUAAAGUUCAAUCCGGUGCCUCGCUCCAGCAGCGAUCUUGUUCAACCAACUCCUCUACAAAAUCCAGAACACCAUUUGACUCGAAAAACGCCAGUUUCAAUUUAAGCCCUUCACUCACCAAUUGGUGCGCCACUCCGUUUGCCGAUCGCUGAACAUGCAUGAAGUCGCGCUACAUAUGUAGGAGAGUUUCUGCAUCAUCAUCACAUCGUGGGCAUCUGGCAGUGUUCAUUAGUCUCCUAUAGUGUAAAUUACUAAAAGUAGGGAUAAAAUUCUGUAUAUUACGCCAUAUUAUAAUUUUAUUUUUUAGUGGCACUUUGAGCAACCACGUUUUUUUGUAAAGGCUGCAUUCUGUAUUAUGUACCUGUCUAGGAGUAGGAUUUCGAAAACCCUGUAUUAGAAGCUUGUAACUACUGCGCACAGAGUACUCUCAAGAAGCUUCACCCCUCCAUGCCAAAUGAUCAUCUCUCGGGCACUAUGAUAAAGGAAUUUUUAGGAUCCGUUCAGCAUCCCUCUCACUAAAUCUAGUACUUUCUAGGACCCAAGAAUCACCCAAAACAGAAAUGGAAGUCCCAGUACCCACUCUCCAACAAAGGCCUUUAUGAAGGAGCCCUUUCGCAGUCCACAUGCUUUGCCAGGUAUAGGAAGGUAAAUUAUCUAAACCUGCGUGGAUGAAAUCUGUUAACGGUUAGUAUUUCAAUUUUAAUGUUCUAUCUAACAAUGAAUUCGGAUAAGAAUUAACUGCCA